rnacentral:lncRNA from 1 species
CUCAAGUCGGUCGUAACGUUCCGCGUCCGGUCGGAGUGAGGCCCUCGUGGCUGCAAGUAAUUUUCCUUUCACGAAAGGACUUCUAGUAUCGGCCUCGCGUUUGAAGUGUGUCGGCGUCUCCUCAAUCUCUACUCACCACGAUCAAAUUUAUUAAUUGUUCCAUACCAUUUGAUGGAGUCUGGUCAUAGCUUCCUUUGAUGUGUGUACCUAUGUCUUGGCGUUGGUCUGGAUUCAGUGCGCAGUGCGAUUCCAGUGAAAGUGUUGUGUCGUGAGUGCUUACAGCUUGGCGUCGGGCAAUUUCACAGCUCUCUUCUGGAUUGAUAGCUGCGGGACUCUCAUAAGGUAUGUAAUUUUAAUUUUCUGGGUUCACACCUUCUCUGAAAGACUAACCUUUCAAUUUUUA